rnacentral:rRNA from 1 species
UACGUAGGGUGCAAGCGUUGUCCGGAAUUAUUGGGCGUAAAGAGUUCGUAGGCGGUCUGUCGCGUCUGCUGUGAAAACUCGGGGCUUAACCCCGGGCCUGCAGUGGGUACGGGCAGACUAGAGUGCGGUAGGGGAGACUGGAAUUCCUGGUGUAGCGGUGAAAUGCGCAGAUAUCAGGAGGAACACCGGUGGCGAAGGCGGGUCUCUGGGCCGUAACUGACGCUGAGGAGCGAAAGCAUGGGGAGCGAACAGG